GUUCGAGUGGCGCAACUGGUAGACGCGUGUGGUCGAGAACCGCAUUGUUGCGAGUUCGAAUCUCGCCCCGAACACCA
rnacentral:tRNA from 1 species